rfam:Rhizoclosmatium globosum strain JEL800 BCR33scaffold_15, whole genome shotgun sequence.
UCCCAUAUAGUCCAACGGUCAGGAUUCCGCCCUUUCACGGCGGCGGUCGGGGUUCGAUUCCCCGUAUGGGAG